rnacentral:rRNA from 1 species
UACGGAGGGAGCUAGCGUUGUUCGGAAUUACUGGGCGUAAAGCGCACGUAGGCGGCGUUUCAAGUCAGAGGUGAAAGCCCGGGGCUCAACCCCGGAACUGCCUUUGAAACUAGAUUGCUAGAAUCCUGGAGAGGUUAGUGGAAUUCCGAGUGUAGAGGUGAAAUUCGUAGAUAUUCGGAAGAACACCAGUGGCGAAGGCGACUAACUGGACAGGUAUUGACGCUGAGGUGCGAAAGCGUGGGGAGCAAACAGG